rnacentral:misc_RNA from 1 species
AGGAGUUCAUGUUUUAGCUUGGUGCUUCAUGAGCAGAUCAGCUCACCUGCUAGUACAUAUAUUUUGCCUUGAAGCGAAGACAGUAGCUUGACGAGAAAGCCAAAUACUGAUGAGUAAUAAUCUAUUAUCCAUGCCAAUUUUGUCUGUCCUGUUCAGUAGAGGUAAACAUUGCAACUGAAGCAUGGAACACUUUAGCAAUGACUGAUACAAUUUCACGAAAGUUUCAAUCAGAUUGUGCUUAUAGCGGUCUUGAUACUCAAACUUAUUCUUUGAGGACUAAGUUCUAGACUUCAUCUAUAAUCAGAUGUUGAGGCCACAAGACAUAAAUAUGCUAUUUACCACCAACCAACGAGAAUGAAAAAUGGCCUUAUAAGUGG